rnacentral:tRNA from 1 species
ACCCGGGUAGUUUAAUCAAAAUAUUGAUUUGUGGUGUCAAAGAUAUGAUAUGUCAUCCCGGGUC